AUGUAUGUCGACGGGAAUACCAUUUCGUUCGAGCCCGCUGAAAACCAUGGCCGCUCCGCUGCCCUGUUUGAGGAUGAUCUCACGGAGUUGGAGGCCAUCGGCUUCCCUCUUGAGCUCUGGCAUCCUUCGGGCAUCCACUUCAUCCUCAACUUUCUUGGUGAAAUCUUCCCCAUUGAUCAGUACUGUCUGCUAUCCGACGAGCGCACUUCCAUUCGGGCUCAUGUCGCUCUCUUCAAAGGAACCACUCUCCUCGAUGCUCUCACAGUCCAGCUCCCCAAUCUUGACAUCCUAGUUGUCCAACUACUUGAGCAUGGCAAGGUCUCUCGCAUUGGCCCUUGUGACCCAUCUCCUUUCUCCUCUGAUGCGGACUCGGACUCCGGUUCGGACUCUGCCUCCGACUCGGAUUUGCCUGCCCCGGAUCCCUCAGUCGGUCUCCACUGCGCCACCGCGGACCACCGUGGAUAA
rnacentral:rRNA from 1 species